GCACAAGCGGUGGAGCAUGUGGUUUAAUUCGACGCAACGCGAAGAACCUUACCUGGGCUAGAAUGCCUCUGACAACCCUGAAGACAGGGCCUUCUGGGUAAAACCAGACAGAGUGCAAGGUGCUGCAUGGCUGUCGUCAGCUCGUGUCGUGAGAUGUUGGGUUAAGUCCCGCAACGAGCGCAACCCUUGUCAGUAGUUGCCAGCGGUUCGGCCGGGCACUCUACUGAGACUGCCGUUGAUAAAACGGAGGAAGGUGGGGAUGACGUCAAGUCCUCAUGGCCUUUAUGUCCAGGGCUACACACGUGCUACAAUGGCAGGUACAAACCGUCGCAAACUCGCAAGAGGGAGCCAAUCGGAAAAAGCCUGUCUCAGUUCGGAUUGGAGUCUGCAACUCGACUCCAUGAAGCUGGAAUCGCUAGUAAUCGCGGAUCAGCAUGCCGCGGUGAAUAGUUCCCGGGC
rnacentral:rRNA from 1 species